GCGUAAAUAGUCUAGUGGUAGAAUGCGGCCCUUCCAAGGCUGAGGUCCGGGUUCGAUUCCCGGUUUACGCA